rnacentral:rRNA from 1 species
GGCUCUUUGGAGUUUAUAUAUAAAGAGUCGGACCUGCCCAGUGAAAAUUUUUAACGGCCGCGGUACUCUGACCGUGCAAAGGUAGCAUAAUCAUUUGCCUUAUAAUUGAAGGCUUGUAUGAAUGGUUUGACAAGAAUAUAACUGUCUCUAUGUGAUUUUGUAGAAUUUUAUUUUGAAGUGAAGAAGCUUGAAUAGUAUUAAUAGACAAGAAGACCCUAUCGAGCUUGAAAUAAAUUUAUGAGGGUAUUUAAUAUCUGUUAAAAAUUUGUUUGUAGUAUAUUUUGGUUGGGGCGACUUUGGAACAUGUGAAGCUUCCAAGAGUAGAUAUUUUAAAAACAAAUUGAUCCAAAAAAUUUUGAUUAAUGAAAUUAGUUACCGUAGGGAUAACAGCAUAAUCUCUUUUAAGAGUUCUAAUCGAAAAGGAGGUUUGUGACCUCGAUGUUGGACCAGAAUGUCCUAAAGAUGCAGCAGUCUUUGAGGGUUGGUCUGUUCGACCAUUAAAAUUCUACG